CCUACGGGAGGCAGCAGUGGGGAAUAUUGCACAAUGGGCGCAAGCCUGAUGCAACAACGCCGCGUGAGGGACGACGGCCUUCGGGUUGUAAACCUCUUUUAGUAGGGAAGAAGCGAAAGUGACGGUACCUGCAGAAAAAGCACCGGCUAACUACGUGCCAGCAGCCGCGGUAAUACGUAGGGUGCAAGCGUUAUCCGGAAUUAUUGGGCGUAAAGAGCUCGUAGGCGGUUUGUCGCGUCUGCUGUGAAAACUGGAGGCUCAACCUCCAGCCUGCAGUGGGUACGGGCAAACUAGAGUGCGGUAGGGGAGAUUGGAAUUCCUGGUGUAGCGGUGGAAUGCGCAGAUAUCAGGAGGAACACCGAUGGCGAAGGCAGAUCUCUGGGCCGUAACUGACGCUGAGGAGCGAAAGCAUGGGGAGCGAACAGGAUUAGAUACCCUGGUAGUCCAUGCCGUAAACGUUGGGAACUAGAUGUGGGGGCCAUUCCACGGCUUCCGUGUCGCAGCUAACGCAUUAAGUUCCCCGCCUGGGGAGUACGGCCGCAAGGCUAAAACUUAAAGAUAGUACGCGNGAGAGAGCGACGACGACGACGAGGAGGAGGAG
rnacentral:rRNA from 1 species